rnacentral:rRNA from 1 species
GACGAACGCUGGCGGCGUGCUUAACACAUGCAAGUCGAACGAUGAAGAAAAGAAUUGCAGCUUCGGCAGAAAUUCAUUUCGGAUUAGUGGCAGACGGGUGAGUAACGCGUGAGCAACCUACCUCUUACAAAGGGAUAGCCUCGGGAAACCGGGAUUAAUACCAUAUAACAUUGCGACGAAGCAUUUCGAUGCAAUCAAAGCUACGGCGGUAAGAGAUGGGCUCGCGUCCCAUUAACCAGAUGGUGAGGUAACGGCUCACCAUAGUAACGAUGGGUAACCGGCCUGAGAGGGUGAACGGUCACACUGGAACUGAGACACGGUCCAGACUCCUACGGGAGGCAGCAGUGGGGAAUAUUGCACAAUGGAGGGAACUCUGAUGCAGCGACGCCGCGUGAGUGAUGAAGGAAUUCGUUUCGUAAAACUCUGUUCUAUGGGAAGAAAAGGACUGUACCAUAGGAGAAAGCUCCGGCUAAAUACGUG